rnacentral:rRNA from 1 species
AGAGUUUGAUCCUGGCUCAGGAUGAACGCUGGCGGCGUGCUUAAUACAUGCGAGUCGAACGGAGAUAGUAGCAAUAUUAUCUUAGUGGCGAACGGGUGAGUAACGCGUUGGUGACCUGCCCCGAAGAGAGGGAUAGCAGUUCGAAAGGACUGAUAAUACCUCAUGUGGUUGUUGGUUUUAGAAUCUGACAACUAAACGGAUUUAUUCGCUUCGGGAGGGGCCUGCGUCCCAUCAGCUAGUUGGUAGGGUAAUGGCCUACCAAGGCGAUGACGGGUAGGGGACCUGAGAGGGUGGCCCCCCACAAUGGAACUGAAACACGGUCCAUACACCUACGGGUGGCAGCAGUAGGGAAUAUUGGUAAUCUGGGAAACCGGGAACCAGCAACGCCGCGUGCGCGAUGAAGGCCUUCGGGUUGUAAAGCGCUUUUAGAAGGGAUGAGGAAGGACAGUACCUUCUGAAUAAGCCUCGGCUAACUACGUGCCAGCAGCCGCGGUAAAACGUAGGAGGCGAGCGUUAUCCGGAUUUACUGGGCGUAAAGCGCGUGUAGGCGGUCUUGUAAGUUGGAUGUGAAAGCUCCUGGCUUAACUGGGAGAGGUCGUUCAAAACUGCAAGACUUGAGAGUGGUAGAGGGAGGUGGAAUUCCGGGUGUAGUGGUGAAAUGCGUAGAUAUCCGGAGGAACACCAGUGGCGAAAGCGGCCUCCUGGACCACUUCUGACGCUCAGACGCGAAAGCUAAGGUAGCAAACGGGAUUAGAGACCCCGGUAGUCUUAGCUGUAAACGAUGUGAACUUGGCGUCGGUGGGUUUAAACCCAUCGGUGCCGAAGCAAACGCGAUAAGUUCACCGCCUGGGGACUACGGCCGCAAGGUUAAAACUCAAAGGAAUUGACGG